CACUCCUGCGGGAGGCAGCAGUGGGGAAUUUUGGACAAUGGGCGAAAGCCUGAUCCAGCAAUGCCGCGUGAGUGAAGAAGGCCUUCGGGUUGUAAAGCUCUUUUGUCAGGGAAGAAACGGUGAAAGCUAAUAUCUUUUGCUAAUGACGGUACCUGAAGAAUAAGCACCGGCUAACUACGUGCCAGCAGCCGCGGUAAUACGUAGGGUGCAAGCGUUAAUCGGAAUUACUGGGCGUAAAGCGUGCGCAGGCGGUUUUGUAAGUCUGAUGUGAAAUCCCCGGGCUCAACCUGGGAAUUGCAUUGGAGACUGCAAGGCUAGAAUCUGGCAGAGGGGGGUAGAAUUCCACGUGUAGCAGUGAAAUGCGUAGAUAUGUGGAGGAACACCGAUGGCGAAGGCAGCCCCCUGGGUCAAGAUUGACGCUCAUGCACGAAAGCGUGGGGAGCAAACAGGAUUAGAAACCCGUGUAGUCCCAUGAU
rnacentral:rRNA from 1 species